CGAUGACGUUGUGCAGAUCACCUACACUACCGAAAGCAAUUUUGUGGAUCGGAAUCCGAACACCAAUGUGAUUCUUGCAGCGUUUACAACAUGCUGGGCUCGCCUUCACUUGCUGAACUUCAUGGAAAUGGUGGAAGGUCGUUUGUUAUAUUUCGAUACAGAUUCCAUAUUUUUUGUAAGCCGACCGGGUUUUGCGGAUCCACCGACGGGUAUGUUUCUUGGCGACCUUACCAAUGAAUUGAAACCGGGCCAGCAUAUUGUACAGUUCGUUAGCUUGGGAGCAAAAACUUAUUCCUACGUCACCAAUGAUGGAGACAGUGUUGUGAAAGUUAAAGGAUUCACGAUAAACA